AAGUCCUUAGCAAAACGCACCGGAUUCGCGCCCUCCCCGGAGUUCUGGCCAGGAGGCUCUGGCUGGAUUCCAGUUGUUACAGAGCUCGCUGGAGACUUCCUUCUCCCUGUGGCAUUUUCCCCGCUCCUCUGGCCGCCGAAGGAGUCCUGUGGUGCCGGGCAGGAAUGGGCUGCUUGGGGACCCAACGAGCUCCCAGAGCCUUUCCUGCUGCUUCCUCUACCCCUGUGUUUCGCUAGGCUCUCGAGAUGGACUCAGUUCCAGAUUGCCCAGCCUCACAUAUUCCUUCAUAGCAACACAAAGGGACUGAGACAAUAUAUAAGUUAACAUCUGCCAUGUAGUGGAGGUUCCAGAGAAAAAGUGAGAGAAGCUGAGUCUGCACCCUCAACAUGGAGGAAAUAAGCUCUCUUAGGACCAAGAACAGAGGACAGAGGAAGGACUCCAGCAUGAUGGGCACCAAGGGAUUUUGGUCCUUCUGAGAAAGAGGAGAGACAGGGUCUUCCUCUUUGCCUAAGCUGGAGCGCAUUGGUGUGAUCAUCGCUCACUGCUGCCUCAAACUCCUGGGCUCAUGCGACCCUCCCACCUCAGCCUCCUGACUAGUUGGGACUACAGAAUUGGUUCCUUCCAGUGAGUUCUUGGUCUCGCUGACUUCAAGAAUGAAGCCACAGACCUGUGCGAUGAGUGUUACAGCUCUUAAAGAUGGUGUGUCCAGAGUUUGUUCCUUCAGAUGUUCAGAUGUGUCCGGAGUUUCUUCCUUCUGGUGGGUUUGUCCUCUCGCUAACUUCCAAGAAUGAAGCCGUGGACGUUCACAGUGAGUAUUAGACCUCCUCAGGUUAGUGUGGACCCAAAGAGUGAGCGGCAGCAAGAUUUAUUAAGAGCAAAAGAACAAAGCUUCCACAACACGGAAAGGGACCCAAGCUGGUUGCCUCUGCUGGCUCGGGUGGCCAGGUUUUAUUCCCUUAUUUGGCCCCGCCCACAUUCCGCUGACUGGUCCAUUUUACACAGUGCUGAUUGGUCCAUUUUACAGAGUGCUGAUUGGUGCAUUUUUACAGAGUGCUGAUUGGUGUGUUUACAGUCCUUUGGCUAGACACAGAGUGCUGAUUGGUGUGUUUUUACAGAGUGCUGAUUGGUGCAUUUACAAUCCUUUAGCUAGACUCAGAGUGCUGAUUGGUGCGUUUUUACAGAGUGCUGAUUGGUGCGUUUACAAUCCUUUAGUUAGAUGCAGAGUGCUGAUUGGUGCGUUUACAAUCCUUUAGCUAGACACAGAGCACUGAUUGGUGCGUUUACAGUCCUUUAGCCAGACAGAAAAGUUCUCUAAGUCCCCACUCUACCCAGGAAGUCCAGCUGGCUUCACUUCUCAAUAUACGCAUUCCCUAUUUAAUUUUCCCAUUUUCUUGCGAUGCUUCUGUGUUUUGGCUUUGUGGAAAUCCAUUCUGCAUGCAAUACAGAACACAAAUUUGGCAAAAACAGUACUGGUGAUCAAAAAGCAGCACUGUUGCAUAAGUGUCUUCUUAUCCUACUAUGCACAUAAUUAUUUUCAAACUAGUCAGUAACUUAGCUGGCUUCCUCAGGCAAAUGCAGCUUUAAUUUAUUAAAAGCCCUGGAAUAUCAUCAGCUGGAAGGAAUGCCAACACAGGUAAAUGAGGCAUUUUUAAACUGACGUUUUCAUUCUUGCCGUGUUGUGCAGGCAAUCUACUCAUUUGAAUUUUUCUCCAAAUGCAUUGAGCUGAAUGGAAAAAAACAAACUUUAUUGGUAACACCCUGAAAUCCACUCUUGGAAAUCUUGAUUGCACCUAAUUCCAAAUCUGUCACUAUAGUUGGGGAUUCAACUGAAAUCCAUUUUCUUCUUUAUAAAGACAAUAACAAGGUAAUAGUUCUGCCUAACAUGAUGUGACUUUCCUGCGAUGGUGAUUUUCCAAAUUUUAAAUGUUUAGAAUUUUAGAUGAUAGGGAUUUAGAUUUUAGAGAUUUUGAUCUUUUAGGAUUUCAACAUUCAGGAUUAUGGCACUCAGUAUUGCGUCCUUUGAUAUUAUGAUCCAAACCCUUUCGCUUCAUAAAAAACUGUGAAACAGCUUUUUCUGUGCAUUAAAAAAAAGUUUCAAGGUGGAGUUUCUUACAUUAAGAGAAUCUUUUUAAAGAAAAUGUGUGGUGGAGAAAUUUUCGAGGAGGACAUCUUUAUCUAAUCAUUUCUAGUAAGCAAACUUUCUCUACUAGGUCAAGAUCUAAGCAAACACACAAAUGUGAACAACAGGGAAAGAACCCAUUGACCUACCAAGACAGGCUGCCAACAGAAUUUUGAAGGCUUGCCAAGAUGCUUUUAUGGAGGUAGAGUGAAUGAGAUUCCGUAAGUGCAAAAUAAUCCUUUUAAGACUACCCAGAAAGUAAUAUAAGUGAACUAGUUAUAUAAGAUUCAGUGAGGACUACCAAAACAUUGGGAAGAAAUGUGGAUUUUAUCAUUCAAGGAAAUAUAAUUUUAUUGUAAGAUAUAAUCUUUGUUUUUGUAGUCAAAUAGAAACAUUCAUGCCUUAAUACAACGUUUGGUAAAAAGAACUGAAGAAGACACCAUAGAAGAUUUUAACAAACAAUGAACUCAUUAGCUAAAAGAUUUGUCAUGAAAUAAUGAUUGAUUUAGUUGUUUUCUAAAAUAUUUCUAGUGCCUAUUAGAUGUUGAAGGAGACUUUGAUCAUGAAGUGUGUUCUCUGAGGAGCUGCUAUUUUUAUUUUUAUAUUUGUUUGAAGUGAAUUGUCCUGCUAAUUCUUUAACAUAAAAUAUCUUCAAUUACAUGAUUCAACAUUUUAAAAAGUGAUUAAGACAGAAGAAUAUGUGCUGGGAUUUAUUUUUGGAUCUUUGAAGUAGCAAAGAGUAGCAGAACUCCUUAAUCCAUAGAGUGGUUAUUUUGCUGUAUGAUGACUCUUGUAUUUACUCCCUGAAUUACCCUUUCCACUAAAAAGUAUUAAUGAGACAUUAGUAGGCUAUAGAAAAAAAUACUUCUGAUCUACUUAGAAAUAUUCAUGAGGUUUUCUCCUGGUGGAUUCACAUCAAAUUUUAUUUUUUAAAACCCCAAGUAUUUUUAUUUGAUGAUUAAUAAGUAAGAUGGAGGCUGGUAGGUGGAAAUCGCCAGCAGGAAAAUAAAAUGCUUUGGCUAAGCCGACAACUGCUACUGUCCUCCUCUGUACAGACUCUCCUGCUGAAGACUCACGGAGGCUUAUUUCAAGUCUUCUUUAGUUCAUUACCUGCAUGUUCAAAUGGAGCUGGUACUGUGACUCACAGCUUUCUGUCCAAGAAUGCGAUUUGUACCUCUACAAAUCUUCUACACCUUCUUCAUCUAGUAAACACUUACUCUACAGGUCUCAUCUCAAAUCUAUUACUAUAUGCAACUAUAGUACAUAAGCAAGCCAUUUAAAAAUGUUAAAGGAAGAUAUGCAUUGAUAUGGGUUGGCUGUUUUCCCACCCAAAUCUCAUCUUGAAUCGUAGCUCCCAUAAUCCACACGUGUCAUGGGAGGGACCCAAUGGAAGGUAAUUAAAUAAUCGGGGUGGGUUUUUCCCAUGCUGCUCUCAUGAUAGUAAAUAAGUCUCAUGAAAUCUGAUGGUUUCAUAAUAUAAAGGGCAGUUCCCCUGCACAUGCUCUCUUGCCUGCCACCAUGUAAGAUGGGCCUUUGCUCCUCCUUUGCCUUCUGCCAUGAUUGUGAGGCCUCUCCAGCCAUGUGGAACUGUAAGUCCAUUAAAUCUCUUUUUCUUUAUAAAUUACCCAGUCUUGGAUAUCUCUUCAUAGGAGUGUGAAAAUGGACUAAUAGAUACAUAUAGGUACACAUACAUGUAUACAUAAAGCCAUUCCAAAAGACUUUGCUUCCUGAAGUUUGUAAAUGUAAACAAAUUUAUUGUACCAUCAUUUAGGUUACUACGUUGCUCACUAACAUAGAAACAAUAUCUAAAAUGGGUACUUAUAGGGUUAUUAAAAUAUAGUAUGAAUAUGGCUACUGGAAAAAAGUCAAAGAUAUAUUUUGAGGCCACUACUCUACGUCUCUUGAUGUUCUCUUGUACACAUUUGAUAUUGCACAAAAGCCAAAAGUUUGGACUCCUUUGAUUAAAGGCAAGGUCAAGUAAUCCUGCUGGUUCUACCUCUCCUCCCAUUUCUUAAAUGAAAGGAUGUAGUCAUAUAAGGUGCUGUUUAGUAAAAUGGUGCCGUGAAUUCAGCAUGAAAUGUCUGGGCAAGUGUUUUUCAAGUUGUCACAUAUAUACUAUAUUUAUCUUCCUCCUUUUCCCUCCUCAACCUCAGUCCCCAUCACCCAGUGUUUCAUAAGGUUUUACUUUCUGUAGCUUAUACUGUAAAACCAGGAGUUCCCUUCCUCCUCUCCCAAAUAUAACCUUUUCUAAUAAUAUUAAUUGCACUUUCCCUAACUAUACAUACCUCCCUGGAGAUUUUGAACUGUAAUUCUUUCUCUCCUCCAUUUUCCUUGAGCAUUUUUCAUCUAGUGGAAUAUUCGGUGGCAAAGCUCUCAUUCUGGAAGAAGUUUAGCCAUGUAAGCAUAGAAGAAAUAAGCCAACAAUGGUAAACAUAGUUAAUGCAUGUAGUUAAGUCUUCUAAACAUGUCACUUGAAUGAUGUCACAUUUUGCUUUUUCAAACUAGGAAUCAACAAAAUGGAGGAACAUUUGAGGUUUGUUAAGAAAUUUCCCUUCUUAGCCAUAGAACUAAGAUAUUUUUAAAUAAAGAAGAUCAUAGUGGGCCAUAAAUGAUGUGCCUUUCUAGGAUCCCAAAAUGUUUUAUUGAUUGAAUUAUAUAGAGAGAUUUAAUGGAACCGUGGUUGAAAAAUGCUUUUAAAGUCUUUGAUCACUGGGAUAUCAAUGGAACAAAUGGGUUAAAACAUUUUCAGAAUUUAAUCAUUUAUCUAGGUAACAGGGUUGGGGGUAAAUGGCGGGAGAGAAGGGGAGGGCCGGGGCAUUAAUGAAUAGUACUCCAUGUAAAAAGAAGAAUUGACUAGUAACAUCUGUACUAUUUAAAUUAACAGGCUGGCAUAUAUUGUUGUGCAGGUUUUGCAUUGCCCAAUUCUUGGGGGGGGCGGCAUUCACAUUUGUAGUCAUUAUGGGUUCCUCUAUUUAUAAUGCCAAUUUUCUAGCAGAUGUUGGUUUAUUGCCUUGAGAAACUGUUAGAUUCCUCUAAUUUUUGCAAAGAUGGCUUUGGGAAGUUGAAAGAUUACCUGAUUACUAUUAGAGAAUCCUGCUACCAAUACAUACUUGUCUUGUAUAAUUUGGGCAAAAUAUAAUAUUCCUGAAUCUUAGAUUCCUUGUUUGUAAAAUGUUUAAAAUAUAUCUAAAUGUAAGAAUUGUUGUAGCAUAUAUAUGUGAGUACAUGAAUGUGGCCGUCACAGCAGCUGUAAGUGGAAGAUAUUAUAAAUAUUGUUAAAACCUUCUGAUGUUUUAUUUUAAGCUGAUAGUUUUUCUUUAUGCUGACUUUACAGUGAGUUUUAAACAUACACUUGAGUUUAUCAUUUGUAUAUAACUACUGAUAGAAAUCUGAUGAAAAACACUAAUAGUAGUUUAUAAAAGAUUUUUUUCAAUAUGAACUUUUUGUUUCCAUUGUGAGAAAUUAAAUUUCAAAAUGUAAUUAUUAAAUGUAUGCCUGACUUUCAAAUGUUUUUCUAUAUCCAGCUAAUUAAAAAUAUUUAUAACGUAGUAGUAGUUAAAUGUCAUGUUCGCCUUAUUAGAAAGAAUGCCUUCAAAUCAGUAUUAUCAUGAUUACCAUUUAUUUAACAUCUUCAGUAUGCAGGGCAUUUAUAAAAUCUGUAGAAAUUAAUUUUCUCUAAAUGCAACAAGCUUUAUGACCAGCACUCACUGUCUAUAAAAGAUGACUUGCUUGGCAGAAGAGGAAACAGUUUCUUCAGACCUUCCAGCCACAGUCAGCCCUGGUGACAUUGCAUAUCAGGUAAACCCCCAAUCCCUGGCCACAUUUGAUUGGUCCAAGAUGGAAUGUGACCCAGGCUGAGACAAUCAGACUCAGUCUCUUGAUAAUUUAAAUUCAGAGCCCCAGUGACUGAAUUAGACAAUAAUGGAUAUUCUACCUAUAAGUUAGAGAGAGUUGGAGACAGGAAACUCAACUCACUUGAAAGCUGCUAUUAUGGAGAAACGAAAAAAACUGCUUUGUAGAAGAUAGCCUGGAAAAGUAGAGAAGUUGUCUGAGAGAGGGACAAAUCAGCUUUAAAAGUGUUUCAUUUUUUUUGUUAGGGCCUAAAUAUACUUUCUGUAUUUGAUAACUCUAAGAUAACCUUGUAUUCUCUUCUCAAUUCCCCCUUCCACUUGAACUUGAAUGGUGGAUUUCUAUUACUUUCAAAUGAAAAAUACUUAAGAUAUUUGUCUUGUUUCAAGGAAGAUUUAAUACAGUUAUUUCCCGAACAACAACAACAAAAGCCUUUUGUUGAGCCACUGUCCUUCCAGUGAGACACACACACACACACACACACACACACACACACACACACACACACACACACACACAGUCUUUACAGAUCUGUUGAAGAGGAUCAUGGAGGCAGGUACCGCUUUCUUUUCCUUUAUUUUUUUUUUUUAUUUUUUUAUUUUUUGAGACGGAGUCUCGCUUUCUCGCCCAGGCUGGAGUGCAGUGGCACAAUCUCGGCUCACUGCAAGCUCCAUCUCCCAUCUUCACACCAUUCUCUCUGCCUCAGCCUCCUGAGUAGCGGGGACUACAGGCGCCCGCCACCAUGCCUGGCUAAUUUUUUGUAUUUUUAGUAGAGACGGGGUGUGUUAUUCAGGAUGGUCUCGAUUUCCUGACCUCGUGAUCCGCCCGCCUCGACCUCCCAAAGUGCUGGGAUUUAGAGGCCUGAGCCACCGCUCCCGGCCCUGGCAGCUUCUAAAGGGCCUCGCACAUUCCUUGGCUUGUGAUGUCCCUUCCCCAUCAUCAAAGACAGCAACGUUGAGUUCCUGAUAUCAUACUGGCUUUUUUUGGGAAACUUCAGGCUACCAUACCUGCUUCAACUGUAGGAGAAUCUUAGUUCUGGAGAGUUGACCCUCCAGGCGAAGCAUUAGGCUUUGAUACAAUUUGUCUGGUACCGGCUGUAGAUCUGGUUUGGGCCCCAGACUAUCUUCCCUGUCCUCAAGAAUCAAAACCAACUUGGAAUGACUCCUGGCCCACUCAGCACCUUUCCGGAAGCCAGAAGAAUGAAGUGCCACACAUAUCAUCAGAGAGAAUUCCAAGGAAGAGGGAAUGGUCUAUAGUGUCUCAAGCCACAUUAAUCCUUCAAGAACAGUGUUAACUUUCUCAGGCUACUGGAACUCCACUUUUUGGAACUGUUAUAUUUACUGUUGGGGAGUGACUUUGGCACCAAGGAGAACUUGGCUCAAAUGAAUGGUUUUGGAUCACACAUCUUCAUGAUUUGGGAAUGAUAUGUGUGUUUAUUUUAUGAAAAAUGUUAGUAAUGAAGCAUUUAAAAUAUAUCAAAAGGAAAAUCUCCAAGAGUUGGUGAAUCAUGCUGUUGCCAAUAAUAGGCAUGUGACAUAACUGAACAUUUCAUCAUCUUCAGUAAAUAAUCAAGAUGAGAUGACAUGCUGGGUCUGUGAUCACCAGGGAUCCAAAUGCCUUCGAUCUUGGUG
rnacentral:lncRNA from 1 species